rnacentral:rRNA from 1 species
GACAGAGGAUGCAAGCGUUAUCCGGAAUAAUUGGGCGUAAAGCGUCUGUAGGUGGCUUAGCAAGUCAGGGGUGAAAUCCCAGAGCUUAACUCUGGAACUGCCUUUGAAACUGCUAAGCUGGAGUAUUGGAGGGGAGCGGGGAAUUCCUAAUGUAGAGGUGAAAUUCGUAGAUAUUAGGAGGAACACCGGUGGCGAAGGCGCCGCUCUGGACAAUUACUGACGCUGAGGCGCGAAAGCGUGGGGAUCAAACAGG